CUGAUCUUCGUGAGAAGGUGCUGGCUCACCAGCCGUAUAUGAAGAUCAACAGUCUCAGAUUCCUCUCUGAGAAGGUUGGCCAACUUGUAAAGCCCGAGGUUGGCUGAACACGCUCGUGCGUUGAUGCGUCUAUGCCAUCCUUUACCUUCCAAGUCGUUGUUCGUUCGCACCUCCUCUCUAAACACGCACCAAUUGAGGGGUCGCCAUACACUGCCGUGGAUCCAUGUACGGGAAAUGUACUCGCAUACCCGCAGUACGGGACCCCCGACUCCUUCAGCUACCUCCAUCAGCCUGUUGAAUGCCGGUUCAAUCUGUUCAACUGGUAGAUAAGGAAGGGACAUAAUUUUCCUGAAGAACUCGAACUUGUCACCAUGUUGCUGAUACGCGGUACUCAGUCCCUCUGUGGUGAUCUUCCUGUAUAUCCGCUGUGUAAAGUGGAAGACGCAUCCCCGUAUCACGGCAUCAGGAAAAACCUCUCUUAUCGCCUGCCAAGUUGCUGAAAAUAGAAAAUACAUAGAAAUUAAUAGUAAUCAAACAUGUAUUAUUUAUGUUAUUGCUACAAAAGUAAAUUACUCAAAUCAAUUUAGUCGUUUUCAUAACCUUUUUAUGACUUACCAGCUUCAAAGUCUAACAUAAUCCACUCUACAGAGAGAUCCCCCAGUCUGCGACGUAGACUCCUGAAAACCUGAAAAAUAAGAACGUAAAUAUUAUUUAGUUUAAUUUAUAUUAUUAACAAACAUUACUACAUUAAAUUUUUGCGAAU